CAGUCGAGCGAAUGGAUUAAGAGCUUGCUCUUAUGAAGUUAGCGGCGGACGGGUGAGUAACACGUGGGUAACCUGCCCAUAAGACUGGGAUAACUCCGGGAAACCGGGGCUAAUACCGGAUAACAUUUUGAACUGCAUGGUUCGAAAUUGAAAGGCGGCUUCGGCUGUCACUUAUGGAUGGACCCGCGUCGCAUUAGCUAGUUGGUGAGGUAACGGCUCACCAAGGCAACGAUGCGUAGCCGACCUGAGAGGGUGAUCGGCCACACUGGGACUGAGACACGGCCCAGACUCCUACGGGAGGCAGCAGUAGGGAAUCUUCCGCAAUGGACGAAAGUCUGACGGAGCAACGCCGCGUGAGUGAUGAAGGCUUUCGGGUCGUAAAACUCUGUUGUUAGGGAAGAACAAGUGCUAGUUGAAUAAGCUGGCACCUUGACGGUACCUAACCAGAAAGCCACGGCUAACUACGUGCCAGCAGCCGCGGUAAUACGUAGGUGGCAAGCGUUAUCCGGAAUUAUUGGGCGUAAAGCGCGCGCAGGUGGUUUCUUAAGUCUGAUGUGAAAGCCCACGGCUCAACCGUGGAGGGUCAUUGGAAACUGGGAGACUUGAGUGCAGAAGAGGAAAGUGGAAUUCCAUGUGUAGCGGUGAAAUGCGUAGAGAUAUGGAGGAACACCAGUGGCGAAGGCGACUUUCUGGUCUGUAA
rnacentral:rRNA from 1 species